AGAGUUGAUCCUGGCUCAGAACGAACGGCUGGCGGCGCGUCUUAAGCAUGCAAGUCGAACGGCAAGAGGUAGCAAUACCUCCUAGAGUGGCGGACUGGUGAGUAACACGUGGGUGACAUACCCUUCAGAUGGGGAUAGCUAUUAGAAAUAGUAGAUAAUACCGAAUACGAGCACAGGGGUUAGAGAUCUGUGAGGAAAGGAGCUAAGGCUCCGCUGAAGGAAUGGCCUGCGGCCCAUUAGCUAGUUGGUGAGGUAAGAGCCCACCAAGGCGAUGAUGGGUAUCCGGCCUUAGAGGGUGAACGGACACAUUGGGACUGAGAUACGGCCCAGACUCCUACGGGAGGCAGCAGCUAAGAAUAUUCCGCAAUGGACGAAAGUCUGACGGAGCGACGCCGCGUGGAUGAAGAAGGCCGGAAGGUUGUAAAAUCCUUUUGAAACUGAAGAAUAAGCGUUGUAGGGAAUGACAGCGUGGUGACAGUAGGUUUUGAAUAAGCAACGGCUAAUUACGUGCCAGCAGCCGC
rnacentral:rRNA from 1 species